rnacentral:rRNA from 1 species
CGCCUUGCCAGCCCGCUCAGAACUCAAAGGAAUUGACGGGGCCCGCACAGCGGUGGAGUAUGUGGUUUAAUUCGAUGCAACGCGAAGAACCUUACCUGGUCUUGACAUCCCGGAGACCCUUAGGAAACUAGGGGGUGCUUCCAUCUGGAAGAAUCUGGAGACAGGUGCUGCAUGGCUGUCGUCAGCUCGUGUCGUGAGAUGUUGGGUUAAGUCCCGCAACGAGCGCAACCCUUGCCUUUAGUUGCCAGCAGUUCGGCUGGGCACUCUAAAGGGACUGCCGGUGUUAAACCGGAGGAAGGUGGGGAUGACGUCAAGUCCUCAUGGCCUUUAUGACCAGGGCUACACACGUACUACAAUGGCCGAUACAAAGGGCAGCGACACUGCGAGGUGAAGCCAAUCCCGUAAAAUCGGUCUCAGUCCGGAUUGGAGUCUGCAACUCGACUCCAUGAAGUUGGAAUCGCUAGUAAUCGUGGAUCAGCAUGCCACGGUGAAUACGUUCCCGGGCCUU